rnacentral:rRNA from 1 species
GUGGUCGGUGUACAGGUGGUGCAUGGUUGUCGUCAGCUCGUGUCGUGAGAUGUGGUUAAGUCCGCAACGAGCGCAACCCUCGUCCUAUGUUGCCAGCGGGUCAUGCCGGGGACUCAUGGGAGACUGCCGGGGUCAACUCGGAGGAAGGUGGGGAUGACGUCAAAUCAUCAUGCCCCUUAUGUCUUGGGCUUCACGCAUGCUACAAUGGCCGGUACAAAGGGCUGCGAUACCGCGAGGUGGAGCGAAAUCCCAGAAAGCCGGUCUCAGUUCGGAUUGGGGUCUGCAACUCGACCCCAUGAAGUCGGAGUCGCUAGUAAUCGCGGAUCAGCAUGCCGCGGUGAAUACGUUCCCGGGCCUU